rnacentral:lncRNA from 1 species
UUUCUGGGGGCUCUGGGUCUAGACCAAGUGACAGGGUAAGAGAGAGCAUGUCCCCCCUGAGAGCGUGGGACCAGGCUAGCCCAAAUGCAGCGCCCAGGUCCAGCCUCCCUGGUGAGGCCUCUGCCCGCGGAGCCAGUGGCUGCCCCUGCCGGGUGCCAGCGCCUGUGCACCCUCCCCUAGCUCUUCUUGGCCUCCUGCUCUCGGCGCCGGAGCUUCUCCCGCUGCCGCGCAGCCUUCUCCUGGGCCUUGCGCUCCUUCUCGGCAGCCGCUGCCAUCUCCUUCAACUUGCGCUUCACCAGUGCCCGGUCAUGAGAGUUGCUGAGCCCCAGGCUCUGGGGAGGAGUCCGGGGUGAGGGAGAGAGUCUCAGAACCUUCCCAGUCUUGGCCUCCCACGCCCAGGCUCCUUUUGCCCCAGGUGUACUCUGUGGAGCUCCAAAUCCUCCCUGGAGUGGAGCCUCCGCCUCCCACACCGUGACCUGCCCAUGGAUCAGAAUCCCCAGAGCAAGAAUUUGGAAUGAGUGUGGUUGGGAAAGAUGAGGGUUGGGGGUAUUAGGCGCUUCCUCCUCCUCCCCCACCAUUCCUCCACUCAGUAUUUCAGCCUUGGCCCGGACCUGCCCAACCUCCUGAGGCCCAGAGAUGGGGAGUCACUUGCCCAAGGUCACACAGUUAGUGUCCAAGGACCCUCCUCACUUCCAGAGACUUCCUGGGGGCUCUUUUCACCAUCCCUGCCCCAAGCAACUCAGCAGAGAGCAGGAGACAGGCCAGGAACCUCCCAGCUUAUAGGUCAGAGGCCACCACCCCCUUCCUACAGCCUCCCCCUGCCCACUAUUACCACUAGCCUCUGAGACAGAAUCAGACCAAGCUGACCAGGGGGAGAUGUGGCUUCCCAUGAUACCAGGACACUCAUAUGCAUCAAGGGUCAUCCUAGAGGGCAAGGUCAGCCUGGAGACCAGGGCUGGAGCUUGAAGGUCACACUGAAGUCAUGGACUAGAGUUUCAAGUCAAACUAGGGAUUCAUGCUACAACUCAAAAGAUUAGACCAAGGACCUUGCCUAGAGGUCAGAGGUCAGGGUGGUGGCCACAGAUGGAGUGAAAAGGUCAGCCCAGGAGGCUGGGCUGAGGGUCAAAGGUCAGGACGAGGGACUUCAAAUCCUUGAAAGUCACCUCAAGUAACUGGGCUGGGUCACGGCCCUUCCACUCUGACCCACCUUUAGUUUGCUUCCGUCCAGCUGCAGCAGCUGCGGCCCGUCUACCUGCCGUGCAGCAAACUCAGCAGCAUACUGUUCCAGGUUGAGGCUCUGCAGCCACUGGCCCACCUGCUGGCUGGUCCAGUGGUGGACAGGGGGGAGGGGUUCAUCCAGGAACUGGGCAGAGACCAAGGAGAGUGAGGGGGAGGCUUGGCCUGUGACCUGAGCACCUUGCAGAGUCAGAGGUCAGGACUCCGUGGGCACCCUGGGCCAGCCUUGCUCACCUCAUUUGAAGACUGAGACAGCGUGUGGUAGGGAAUAUGAAGGAGUGGAAGAGUGAACGAAUGAAUUCAGAGAAUGCAUGAAGUAACGGAUCACUGCAUGGCUCCAUGGAUGGACAAAUUGAUUCCAGGAAUGUCUGAAUCCCAGCCUGAGCCAAGGUGAAGUACGCCCUCAUGUCACCUGAGACUGGGGGCCAGUUUGGGGACAAGAAAGGCAUGGACUUACCUGGGAAGCUGACUUCUUAGGGCUGAAGCCCUCGUGUUUAGGGGAGCAGGCGGGGGAGGUGGUGCUACCCAAGGAUGCUGAGCCCUUGCCGCUGUCCGUGAACCAGGAAAAAGGCAGGAACGGGGAGCCCCCUGACCUGCCGGACCCCUCCACUGACUCCCUG